UAGGCUCUCUUUAAGGUCAGCUGAGGGAAAAAGUGAAUUGGCUCUUCCAGAGGGAGAUGCAGUUUCUCUCUUUCCAUUUGGCAAUGGAGGGAGAAGUCUGGACAGCUCUAAGUGUCUUCAGCAUGGUGGUAAAUAAUAUUAUUGGAGAGUCCAACAGUACAAACGAACACUCGGAAGAAACUCUCCGGUGUGUAAAUGGAGCAUACACACAGAAUUUUCAGAAGUGUCGAGACCUGACCCAAAGAAUGUAUUUACUGGCUUAACAAUUACAAGUACGUGUGGUUCUGUAUGCCUUUGGCUUUCUUUUCCUCUGAACAGUGAGGAAGUGUCAAGA
rnacentral:lncRNA from 1 species